rnacentral:rRNA from 1 species
UAGGGAAUCUUCCGCAAUGGACGAAAGUCUGACGGAGCAACGCCGCGUGAGUGAAGAAGGAUUUCGGUUCGUAAAACUCUGUUGUUAGGGAAGAAAAAAUGUAUAGUAACUAUAUACAAAAGAGACGGUACCUAACCAGAAAGCCACGGCUAACUACGUGCCAGCAGCCGCGGUAAUACGUAGGUGGCAAGCGUUGUCCGGAAUUAUUGGGCGUAAAGCGCGCGCAGGUGGUUUAGAAAGUCUGAUGUGAAAGCCCACGGCUCAACCGUGGAGGGUCAUUGGAAACUAAUAAACUUGAGUGCAGGAGAGAAAAGUGGAAUUCCUAGUGUAGCGGUGAAAUGCGUAGAGAUUAGGAGGAACACCGGUGGCGAAAGCGGCUUUUUGGCCUGCAACUGACGCUGAGGCGCGAAAGCGUGGGGAGCAAACAGG